rnacentral:rRNA from 1 species
CACGUAGGGCGCAAGCGUUGUCCGGAAUUAUUGGGCGUAAAGAGCUCGUAGGCGGUCUGUUGCGUCCGCUGUGAAAACUCGAGGCUUAACCUCGAGCUGUCGGCGGAAACCAUCUGGCUAGAGUCCGGAAGAGGAGAAUGGAAUUCCAGGUGUAGCGGUGAAAUGCGUAGAUAUCUGGAGGAACAUCAGUGGCGAAGGCGACACCCUGGACUCAUACUGACACUGAGGUGCGAAAGCGUGGGGAGCAAACAGG